AAAAGAAGGGGUGAAGAAGAGAAAGUGAGAAAACAGAAAUCUCACCUGAACGUCGAAUUCAACGAAAUCAACACCGAACUUUGCGGCAGUAUUAAAGGAUAGAAUGGAGUUCUCUUUGAUGGCUUUCAACCUCCGGUCAGGCAAUUGUAAGACGUUCAUACCACUCCCUCUGUGUCCUAUAAC